UCCUAGACACUGCUCAUGGAAGUCAUUAGCGCAUGACGUCUAGCCUCUGUUUUCUUUCUGAAUACUCACAGAAAGUGUCUUCUGAAGUGUGGAAGCGAGUCAGUGCAUGGAACUUACUUUCCUGAGACAGUAGCACAGCUCCUCAGAGUCCAGCUUCUCAGAGUCUUGAUGGCCUCAGGAAGCCAGUCAGUGUGCCACACCAGGUACAGAGUGUCCCUUCUGGAGGGUCCCCGAGAUACUGUGUCACAGUCCUGCCCUCCUACAAGGCCCCCUUCAAACUCUCCUGACCAGGAAUCCUGAUGCUUCUGGUAGAAUUCAGUUGACUCAGAAAGCUGGCUGGGGCCCAAACCCAGUUGCGAAGGCAGAUCCUGGGAGGAAGUUACUCUUCAAACACUGAGCUCAAGUUUCAUAACUUCAGUUGGUAAUUAGAAAACAUUGGGAAACUCAACUGCAGUCUCCAGCCAGCCAUUCUUAUCCUAUGCUAUAGUCUCUCACUCGGGCUGAUCAAGCAGCUGUCUACAACAUCUGCCUGUGCUCAAAAUCUUCUGUGCAGACAGCCCUGCUGGUGGCAUGCCCACUGAAAGCAUUAACGCAAGAGAAACGGCAUGGCCUAAGUUCAUGGGAAUGAUAGAGCUUGCCACCGAGAGUUCUUUUUAGUAGAGCCAAUUGGAAGAAAACAGCAAGAAAAAACAAUGUUUCUGCACUGUGGUUUGGAUAUUAAUUGUGUUGAAGAGAUCGUUAUUCAGAAGCUUCAUCCUUGCUGUAAGUGUUGGAACGUUUAAAAAGUAGAGCCUGUUGAGAGGUGACUAAGUCAUCCAAAGCAUUGCCUUUGAAAGAAAUUGCAGGCACUAGCUUUCACCACGAUCCCAUCUGUCAUCAUGUGAUGCAGCUGGAGUGAGUCCUCAACUAAAACCAGCACUACGCUGUUUAGGUUUUCAAUCUCCAAAGCUGUGAGCAAAAUAAACCUUUUCUUCUCAAGUUUCCAUGAAACAGAUAAAAUGACCCAACUCUCCUCCAAGGGUCUUUUGCUAAGAAUAAAAGUAUCAAUAUUAAAGGCAGGCCUCUGUUGUAAUCA